GAGGAGCGGGUGGCGAGGCGGCGGGGGGCGGGCGAAACGAGUUGGCCUGGCGGCCGGCGGCCGGCGGCCGCCCCAGUGCUGACGGGGACGCGGUGGCGCGCAGUGCGAGCUACACCGGCUCUCUGCGGCGAAGCUCCAGCUCCAGCUCCAGCCCAGCCUGUCUCCGGAGAUGAUGGCCUCCCCUCUGAAGCUACUGCUGCUGGCGGCAGUGCUGCUUGCUGCCUGCACUUCUUCUGUUCACGCCGGAGAGGAGGAAGUCCACGAGGUGAAAACCGCCGGAGUGGAGGCUCCCGAGGCGGAGCCUCCCGCACCGGAAGAGCACGACACGGCCGGUCACGAAUCCGACUCUGAUGAGGACUCUCACGAAGAUGACCAUGAUGACGACCACAGCUGGUCUUACGACGGAGAGGCUGGUCCCGAGAAGUGGUCCCACCUGGGCUACAGCCAGUGCAGCGGCCAGCGGCAGUCGCCGAUCAACGUGGUCACCAACCGCGUCAUCCGCCGACACUUCAAACCGAUCGUGUUCGAGAACUUCAACCAGAUCCCGGAGGAGAUGAACAUGACGAAUAACUUUCACUCAGCGAAAGCGGCUCUGGACUGGGAGAGAACACCCAAGAUCAGCAGCGGCGGUCUUCCCGGCGAGUACCGUGUGAUUAACUUCCACUUCCACUGGGGACGGAUGGACUACCGCGGCUCCGAGCACACCAUCGAUGGAGAGAGCUACCCGCUGGAGAUGCACAUCGUCUCACAGAACACCAAGUACGACGAGCUGUCUGAAGCGCUGCAGCAUCCCGACGGACUGGCUGUCAUGGGCAUCAUGUUCGAGGUUAGCCGCGCCAACAACCGCGCCAUGAAGCGCCUGGAGCCGGCGCUGCGGCGCAUCGUAAAGGGCGGCGCUUCAGUGAGCGUGGACGAGCCGCCGCGGCUGCAGGACCUGAUGCCCUGGAACACCAACGACUUCUACCGCUACGACGGCUCUCUCACCACUCCCAACUGCAACGAGGUCGUCACCUGGACCAUCUUCCUCGAGACGGUCAAAAUCACACAGAAACAGCUGGAGCUGUUCCGCGCACUGAAGAAGAACCCGGCGCCGAUCGGCCGCAAUUACCGUCCACCGCAGGCGCGCUACGGACGCUCGGUGUACCUCAGCCAGCCCGAGGAGGAGGAGGUCGAGACCAUCGGCUUCGCUGGCAAGACGGCGGCCGUUCGCAGCGGCGCGCCGGCACUCACCGAGGGCCCGCUGGCUGCCCUCCUGACCUCGCUGCUGGCGGUGCGGCUGCUCUUCUGAGCCGCGCCGGCCACCGGCGGUCGGACAUUCUUGUAGUGAUGAUCGCAGGGGGCCGGCUGGCGCGCGGCCGGCGCCCGAGGCGGUGGAGAGCCCUGGGACUGUAGGGUUUCGGUCAGUGGCGGAGGACGGCUGCUCGCGCGUCCUCUCAGAGCCCGGCGACUCUGGUGGUCAAAAGGCGGUUAGGUGUCCGCGACGUGCUGAGAAUGCUGUCUCACCUACUCACCAUGUGAUACGGAGUCUGCGUCAAACCGAGCAUCGGCUGCCGGGCGCUCGACUCCGCCAUUUACCAUAACGUACCGCAAUAUCCAGUUCUUGUGUCGUUGAUGCUUUGUUGGUCAGGUUAGGUGUGCGUUCUGUGGAUGUCGUUUGGACGCGUGUAGGGCGUAGCUGUAGUGGAAUGUACAGACUGGAUCCUGUCCGUAAGCGUUUCGGACGCGGGGGAUAUUUUCGCUUGGAUCGCGGCAUUUUGAUAGAGUCUGGACUCUAGCUCAACGUUCAUGCAUGUGCGCCGCGACGAUGGGCCUUGCUUGUCUGUCUGUCUGUCUGCGUGUCUGCUGUCACGCAGAACACGACAAUUGACACAUUCACCCAUACCGAGCGGCAACCCGCGGCACCGAGUCUUCCCCAGACUCGGUGCCGGGGAUCGUAUCAGGUCACAGAAAACUAUUUCAUGCAUGGCUCAUAACUUAUUGUCAGAGGGUAGCGAUAAUGGUGUUUGUGUCAAUAUACAGUGUUGUGCUA
rnacentral:misc_RNA from 1 species